GACGAACGCUGGCGGCGUGCUUAACACAUGCAAGUCGAACGGAAAGGCCCUGCUUUUGUGGGGUGCUCGAGUGGCGAACGGGUGAGUAACACGUGAGUAACCUGCCCUUGACUUUGGGAUAACUUCAGGAAACUGGGGCUAAUACCGGAUAGGAGCUCCUGCUGCAUGGUGGGGGUUGGAAAGUUUCGGCGGUUGGGGAUGGACUCGCGGCUUAUCAGCUUGUUGGUGGGGUAGUGGCUUACCAAGGCUUUGACGGGUAGCCGGCCUGAGAGGGUGACCGGCCACAUUGGGACUGAGAUACGGCCCAGACUACUACGGGAGGCAGCAGUGGGGAAUAUUGCACAAUGGACGGAAGCCUGAUGCAGCAACGCCGCGUGCGGGAUAACGGCCUUCGGGUUGUAAACCGCUUUCGCCUGUGACGAAGCGUGAGUGACGGUAAUGGGUAAAGAAGCACCGGCUAACUACGUG
rnacentral:rRNA from 1 species